ensembl:lncRNA
UUUUUUUUUUUUUUUAGCGCUUUCCUACUUUUCAGCCACUGCAAGAAAUUCCAGGAUCAUCUUGUAUAUUUCCUACUCCAGUUCCAGAAUCAGCCAUUUUUCAAAAGAGCCCCAGUUCCUUUUAUUGGAUGUUGGUAUUAGAAACCAAGAUCUGGGAGCUCCCUUCGUGGCUCAGCAGUUAAUGAACCUGACUAGGAUCCAUGAGGACGUGGGUUCAAUCCUUGGCUUCGCUCAGUGGGUUAAGGAUCUGGCGUUGCCAUGAGUUGUGUAGGUCACAGAUGCAGCUCAGAGCUGGAGUGGCUGUGGCUCCAAUUCGAACCCUAGCGUGGGGACUUCCGUAUGUUACAGGUGAGGCCCUAAAAAGCCAAAAAAAAAAAAAAAGAAAAGAAAAAAGAAAGAAACCAAGGUCUGGGUAGUGCGUGUGUUCAUGGCUUCUGAGCCCUCUCAGUUGAUAGAGCAAGGAAAUCUAUGUAUAUUGUCCUUGUAUACACACACAUCAACACAUGUUUCUUUUUUUUUUAAAUUUAUAUAAUGAUUUUUAUUUUUUUUCCAUUAUAGCUGGUUUACAGUGUCCUGUCAAUUUUCCACUGUACAGCAUGGAGGCCCAGUUACACAUAUAUGUAUACAUUAUUUUUUCUCACAUUAUCAUGAUCCAUCAUAAGUGAGCAGACAUAGUUACCAGUGCUACACAGCAGGAUCUCAUUGCUAAUCCAUUCCAAAGGCAAUAGUCUCAGAAAUGAGGUUGUCACCUUUUUUUUUUUUCCAUUUUUAAAAAAAAUUUAUUGAAGUGUAGUUGAUUUACAAGGUCGUCAUAAUUUCUCUUGAUGUCCCUCCUCUUUUUCUUCUGGAGAGGGUAUCUUUUUUAAGGUUUCCAGUCCAUUUGGGUGGAGAUUGCUCAGCUUUUAGUUGUGAAUUUUGUUGUUUUUAGGAGAGAAGUUGAGCUCCAGUCCUUCUAUUCCGCCAUCUUAAUCCUCUCUCUCAACACGUUUCUUUAUGUAGCCAUUUGUAUCUACAGUCCACAGACCAUGAGUUCAUAUCUAUGUCUUUGACUCUUAAUUCAUUGCUGUUUAGUAAUGAAUAAUUAAUUCAUUCUUGCCUGUUUGCCUUGCUUAUCUGUAAAACUCCCCCUCCAGUUAGGAACCUGGCUUACUUCCAUCAUCCUUUUUCUUCAUUGUUCAUUUCUAGUAUGCCAGAAAUGUAUCGGUUGUUAACCUUGACCACAUGGAAUCCAGCACUUAGGUAUGUUUCUUCCUAAAGCCUCUACUCAUGUUUGCAAUUACUUAAGUCAACACUCUUGCCUUUUUCCUCCUUCACUUGUUUCAUACAUUUGUAGUACAGUUAUAUAUAUUUUUUUUUAUCACAUUCUGCAUUUACUCUGGAAUCCCUGAACCUCCUACAUGAUUUUUUUUUCCCAAAAUUUGCAAACAUUAAAGUUCCCUCUUCAUGGUGGAAACAUCUGUGGAUUUUGACGAAGGCAUAGUGUCCUGUAUCCACGAUUAAGAUAUCAUGCAGAAUAGUUUCAGCACCUAAAAUUUAUUCCCCUUUGUUUCACUAAGUUAGCCCUUUCCUUUUGGCAAAAUGGCAAAAAGACAAAAAAAAAAAGACUUCUUCUUUGACCCAUGUGUUAUUUACAAGUGUGUGUAAUCUCCAUAAAUUUGGGAAUUUUCCUGCUAUUUUAUGUUACUGAUUUCAAGUUUAAUUCUACUGUAUCUGAGAAUGUACUUUAUAUGAUUCAUAUUCUAUUUAAUUGGUUAAGGUAUGUUUUAUGGCCCAGAGUAGGUUCUGUCUUGGUGAAUGUUCCAUGAGAGCUUGAGAACAAUGUGUCUUCUGUUGUGGUUGGAUGGAAUGUUCUAUACACAUCAUUUUAGAUCCAGCUGAUGGAUAGUACUGUUUAGGUCACCUGUAUGCUUAUUUGUUUUCUACCUGCUUGAUCAUUUACUGAAAGGUGGGUACUAAAGUCCUCAGCUAUAGUCCUAUAUUAAUCUAUUUUUCCAUACUAUCAGUUUCUUCUACGUGCAUUCUGAUGCUCUGUUAGAUGCACAAGGAUUGCUAUGUCUUCUUGAACAAUUUACCCCUUUAUCAUUAUGUAAUGCCCCUCUUUAUCCCUGAUAAUUUUUUCUUGUUCUGAAGUCUUCUUGGUCUGAAGUUAGUAUAGCUACUCCAGCUUUCUUUUCAUUAGUGUUACCAGGGUUUGUCUUUCUCCAUUUUAUUAUUGCUCCCCCUACCCAACUCCUUUUAUUUAACCUGAGUCUGAAUUAAAGUGGAUUUCUUAUGGACAGCAUACAAAUAAGCUUUUUUUUAAAAAAUUUUUAAUCCAUUCUGAAAUCUCAGUCUUUUUGUUAGCAUAUUUAGACCAUUCACAUUUAAAGUAAUUAUUUAUAUACAAUUGAUCCUUGAACGAUGCAGGAAUUAGGGGCACUGACCCUCUAUGCAGUCAAAAAUCUGUGUAUAGGAGUUCCCGCUGUAGAGCAGUGGGUUAAGGAUCUGGUAGCCACUUGGGUCACUGUGAAGGCCUGGGUUUGAUCCCCAGCUUGGCACUGUGGGGUAAGGAUCUGGUGUUGUUGCUGCUGUGGUGUAGGUCGAAGCUGUAGCUCAGAUUUGAUCCCUGGCCUGGGAACUUACCUAUGCCAUGGGUGUGGCCAAAAAAAAAAAAAAAAAAAAAAAAAAAA